rfam:Cavia porcellus supercont2_8 genomic scaffold, whole genome shotgun sequence.
GGGGAUUUAGCUCAGCGGCGCAAGCACCUGCCUUGCAAGCAGUAGGUCGUGAGUUCAAUCCCCG